rnacentral:rRNA from 1 species
AACGAACGCUGGCGGCAGGCUUAACACAUGCAAGUCGAGCGCCCCGCAAGGGGAGCGGCAGACUGGUGAGUAACGCGUGGGAAUCUACUCAUCUCUACGGAAUAACGCAUGGAAACGUGUGCUAAUACCGUAUACGUCCUUCGGGAGAAAGAUUUAUCGGAGAUGGAUGAGCCCGCGUUGGAUUAGCUAGUUGGUGGGGUAAAGGCCUACCAAGGCGACGGUCCAUAGCUGGGCUGAGAGGAUGAUCAGCCACACUGGGACUGAGACACGGCCCAGACUCCUACGGGAGGCAGCAAUGCGGAAUAUUCGACAAUGGGCGCAAGCCUGAUCCAGCCAUGCCGCGUGAGUGAUGAAGGCCCUAGGGUUGUAAAGCUCUUUCACCGGUGAAGAUAAUGACGGUAACCGGAGAAGAAGCCCCGGCUAACUUCGUGCCAGCCGCCGCAGUAACAC